GACAGAGGGUGCAAACGUUGUUCGGAAUUACUGGGCGUAAAGCGCGUGUAGGCUGUUGCGAAAGUCGGGUGUGAAAUCCCUGGGCUCAACCCAGGAAGUGCACUCGAAACUACGCGACUAGAGUCUCGGAGAGGGAAGCGGAAUUCUGGGUGUAGAGGUGAAAUUCGUAGAUAUCCAGAGGAACACCAGUGGCGAAGGCGGCUUCCUGGACGAUCACUGACGCUGAGACGCGAAAGCGUGGGGAGCAAACAGG
rnacentral:rRNA from 2 species